rnacentral:lncRNA from 1 species
UGAUUAAAGUCAGUGCCUUGAACAGACUUGCUUGACCACCUAACUCUCCUAUAGCUCAGACCUGCCUCCACUAUAGUUCAUCACAAUUACUGUUCUAUUUUCUUUAGAGAAUGUACCACCAUCUAAAAUCAUCUUAUUACUUUAAUUUUAAUGUCAGCCUUCUCUCAUGAGAAAGUAAGCAUUGUGAGGGCAGAGUCCUUUUCUUCUUAUUUACCUUGUGUUUUCCACCUUAGGACAGGACUUGGUACCUCAUAAGUACUCUGUAGACAGUUGCUGACAUCAUAGGAAAGCAGAUCUCAAAGUGUUAUCCAUGAGUACUUGUUAGUCCCUGAAACCCCUUCAGGGAGUUCAAGGGUCAAAACCACUUUAAUUUUCUCCCAAUGGAGUUGUCCAGAGACUACAUAACAUGUGAUACUACAACAGAAUGACUGCAGGAGUUGAUGGGAGAUAUUCAGUAAUGUAAAACCACGCCACUCUUCUUGCUAAAUGAUUUUAGUGUUGGGAAACAUAAUUAUUUUUUUAUAGAAGCACAGUAUGUAUUUUAACAUGCAAUGGCACAAUUACUGAUAUUUUAAUUGAUAAAUGUUUAAAUGUUUUCUCAGUUUUUAUUACCAAUACAGUAAACUUGAUAGAUAUAACCUACAAAAGCACUUUAGGAUCCUCAAUAAAUUUUAAGACUGCAUAGAAUUUUUUAGUCCAAAAAUUUGAAAAGCAUUGGAACUGAAUAUCACUAACUAGAUUCCUAAUUUUCCAAAGAGUCUCCAGUAGAAUGUUUUCCUCCAGGUAGAAGUGUCCCAAAAUAGCGUUUUCUCUUUCCCAAUUGCUUGUUUUGAUAUUCAUUAUUUAUGGGACAACUAUUUCUUUUUCCCAGCUUUUCAAAUCUAACAUUCUACCUUUUCCAUAAAAUCUUCUCCUUAAUUCUAGCACCAAAAGUUCUCUCUAUACAUAUUUUAAACACAAUUUAUUUAAUUGGCAAUCUGUAUUACUUAUCUACCCAAGAUUCCUAUAAACCUCUUUUGGGGCAUGAUCAUUCACAAACAGCACAAAAGGAGAGCAGAAUCUUGUCCUCAAUAAACUUUAUCUUAAAACCUAGAGUAUGGGAUGAUAAAGAUUAAAUUAGUACAACAGCACUAAGUUAACUCUCCAUAUUCACAAUUUGGGUCUUUUGAGAUUUACUACCUGAGGUAGCCAGCAUUCUCACCAUCACCUCCACCAAAGAUGUCCACAUUCUAAUCCUUGGAUCCUGAAAAUAUGUUGUUUAUAUGACAAAAGGGGUUUAUAAUUAAGGUUAUACAUCUUAAAAAAGGGAUAUUCGUGGAUUAUCUGAGUUCGCCCAAUCUAAUUGCACAAGUCCUUCAAAGAGCUUAAUCUAGAAGCUUAAGAGAGAUGACAGAAGGGAAAACCAGAGACAUCUGAAGCAUUAAAGGGACUUGAUAUGUCUAAGGGGAGGGAGAAGUGCGUGUGGAAAGCAUGAGAAGGAAAGAGGGUAGCCUCUAUGCAAAAUCCAGGCCACUACUGACAAUCAGCAAGGAAGCUGGACCUUAGUCUUACCACCAGGAACUGAACUCAGCCAAAAACCUGAAUGGGAUUGGAAACCAAUCUUUCUUCAGAGCCUCCAAAAAGCAAUGCACCUCUGCCAACAUCUUGAUUCUGGCUUAAGCAUAAGUCUGCUUAAAGGCACUGAGUAGACUUCUGACCCACAAAGGAAUGAGAUCAUAAAUUUGUGUUGUGUUAACCUAUUUGUGGUGAGUUUACAGCAACAAUAGGAAAUUAAUAUAGUAUCUCUAGUAUGAUAAUUUCAAAUAAUUUUUACCACAUAUAUAAAAUACAACCCAUAUCUUUUAAACCCUAUAUAAUGCACUCUUUCCACUCAACCUUCUGCCUUACUGCGCAUACAAACUAUGGACACAGUAGACAUGCUUGCAUGAUCAAAGACUAAGUAGAAACAGCAAUACAUAAUCACUCUUUUUAAAUUUUUGUUUCCUCUGUUUGUUCUAAGCAUAUGCUUGUCCUAUGACAAGGAUCCAUUUGCAAGGUUGUUGCAUGAAACUUUAUGCUUAAGCAUUUUGGUCAAUGAAGUUACAACUGAGUCCAAAGGGAUGCCAAAUCUGAAAUCAUCUCACUGUUAACAGUGUCAAAUGAGAUUGUUUCACCACCAGCUCCAUUUGGAAAAGUAACUAGCACCUGAUCGCCAGCUGAGUUUCAUGUAAUUUAGUUGUCAAAGUGAUGGAACACAACUCUUUCAUUUAAUUUAUAUGAAAUCAGUAUUGACUUGACUGUAUCCUCUGCCAGGCCAAGAGUAAUUUUUCUAUACAAGAUACUCUAUAAAUAGUGAGGCCAAAAACAAAGAAAAAAAGUUGAGGGGAAAUAAAAAGUAAGACAAAGAUGACAAGUUCUCUAGGUGUCCUAAAUUUAAACCAUUUCUUUUAUGCAGUAAAGUCAAAGUUCCUGUGACCUUGAUGCACUAGUAAUAAUACAACCAAGGUGAAAAGUCCUUGGAAUCCUUCUGCAUCUGGACCAUUAACUACGGGUUAAUAAAAUACACAUUUUAUUUCUACUGUAUGUCAAUUUGGUAGGGCAUAUCUUAGAGUAACAAAAUAAAGAUUGACUGCAUUUAUUGUUAUUCAGUCUCUUUAAAGAAAAAUGUGAGGAUAAGUUUUUACAGAGCAGAAAGAGCAGAAAGAAAUAACUCACAUUAAAAAAAAAAAAAAUCUGGAGUUUCCAUCAGGCUCAGUGGUGAUGAACCCAGCUAGUAUCCAUAAUCCCUGGCCUCACUCUGUGGGUUAAGGAUCCAGCAUUGCCCUGAGCUGUGCUGUAGGUCACAGACAAGGCUUGGAUCCCACCUUGCUGCGGCUAUGGCAUAGGCCAGCAGCUAUAGCUCCAAAUUGGCCACUAACCUGGGAACUCAUGUGCCACAGGUGCAGCCCUAAAAAUUAUCCAUCAUACGCAGUCUAUUUUUUUGAAUAGGUAAUAUUUUCCUAUUCUAAAAAUAUAAAACAUACAAAGAAAAAUAUCUCUCCAAUCUGUCUCUUAUUUGUCCAUUUUCCUUCUCAAACACCACCUCCUUCAAAGGUAACUUUAGUGGUAUUAUUAUUAUUAUCAUUAUUAUUAUUUUGAUUCUUCCAGAAUUGCUUCAAACAAAAAUUAAUAUAUUUUAGAUUAUUUUACCCAAUAACAUCUUUCAAAUGUAACAUCUACAAUCAUUCAGAAUAGUUCAGUAUAGAAUUCCUAAAAACCUUGUAGUAGGUCUCCAAAAAGAUCUGACAGUCAUGGAAUAUGCUUAUAAUAUAACCACACACCAUGAUGGCCCAGUACAUAAUUUACUUCAUUUGAUUUUCACAGGGGACAGCAAAUCUCAGGACCAUUUUACAGAUGAGGAUGUUGAGGCACAAGAAGGUUAAAUCUUUUGCCUGGCUUUAUAUAAAAAAUUUGGAGUUUGUAUUUCUGCCAAUUGUAUAUCAUUUAUACUAUACCCUAUUAAAUGGUUUAGUGGUUGAUUUUUCUAUAGUCAUGUAUUACUUUAUGCCAGUUUUAUGCACACAAACCAUUGGAUCACAAGAGAUUGAAAGGACCUGGGACCUCAUCUCAUCCAACCCAUUCAAUGUUGUAUCACACAAUAGCAUCCAUGUCAGUUCAAUGCUUAGAUGCUUCUGAUAGGUCAAAAACUCCAUUAAGGGUAGGAAACAUUUUCUCCUAAUCUUUUCUUUCUUCUGCCACAUUUGUAGUUAUACUUGGCAACAUAUGUGUAUGUUUUCCCAAUUAGAGUUGGUAUAGUGACUAUAAACAUCAUUCAUAUAGAGUUUCUCAUAGGAUCCUAAUGCUUGAUCAUAGUUGCUUUUUCAAUAUAAAAUAAGCAUUUGUUAAUAUUUAUCUUUAACUAUAUACCAAUGACUUACAAUGAUAGUUAUAAUGCCAUACUUUUUUAAGUUUAUUAUGAAAAGACUGUUUCACAGGAAAUAAGACUUAAAGGUAUUUUGAGGAGAAAGCAUUACAUGGUCAAGCAAGUUCUGGAAAUGUUACAUGGUCUUAGAAAUUCACUAUGCCCAUUAUUAUGUACAAAGCUCUAAGAAGUGAGUAAAACCUUGUUUAAUUCAGGGUUUUCUAAACAUAUCUGAAUAUGGAAUCCCCUUUCUAAUAGCAUGCAUGAGCUUCCAACAGACCAUUUUCAUGAACCACACUAAGGGAAAAUGUUAUAAAAGAUGUUUGUCUUAAAAGAAAUUGCAGUAAAAAAAAAAAGUCAAUUGUAUUCAGCAUGAGUAAAACACAAAAGACAAGGCAUAUCUGAAAGAAUGACAUCAAUAGCUCAGUUCUACUUUACAAGCUUUAAAAAACUAUACUGUUCAUCUUCUUCAUAUAACUCAGAGAAGAAUAGGGAAUUGCUUUUCUAUCCAUGUAAAUAUAUGCAUAGCUUUCCUUGAAUUUAUAAUGCUUUGAACUCCAUAGCUCAAAGAAUUUAAAACAAUGAUAUUCCAUUAUAUUUUCUUGAUUUUUUUAAUGUCUCUUAGCCAAAAGAUCACAUGUUGCUGUAUUUACAUUGUAUGGUUAUUUGCUUUUUAGUUAUCUCCUCAGGUGAGUUCACUAAAAUAAAUAACUAUUGCUCAUAUAUUUAGCUUUUUUAAUCAGACAGUUUUUUAUGCCAGUAUAUAAUAUAAAAGUAAUAUUUAGUCAUUGUUACUAUUAUAAUUAUUUCCCUAAUGUUAAAAAAAAUCACAAGUAUCUUUUCGGAGUUCUUUAUUAACUCUGACUGAAAUCUCCGACCAAAUGCCCCUUUUGUUGUAUUGUAUUUUCCUCCUCAUUAAGAACAAGGUAUGAACAAGAGAUAACAGCUAAAUCUCCAGUAGGAGGAAAAAAAAUAAAACCUAUUCAAACAAACAUACAGACAAAUAAACAGCUUGUGACAGUCUCAAAUGCUUUGGUCAAGCAUUCUACUAUUACUGUUAAGAUUGCUCAUUUCAUUUAAUUGUAAAUAAGGUAGAUUUUACAGCAAAGCAAAAUCAUAAUAGAAGCUAAAUCUUCCCAAGGUCAAACAGUUCUAAGAAUGUCUCCACCUCAGGGCAGUCAACUGAGAAAAAGCAAAUACCAUUUCUAAUAACAAGGGGUGGGGCAGAGGGAGAAGCAAGACUAAAACGUACCUGUCAAGAAGUUGUAAUAUGCUUAAUAAAACCAGGUAAUUGUUUACUGAUGGCUGUAGUCAUGCAUAAAUAUAAACUGAUUUCUUUACUAUGCAGUCCAAAGUAUCAAGAUGACAAUUAAAAGAAGGGAGGCACCUUGUUUUAAAAGUUUUAUUUUAGGUAUGGGAAAAAGAAAAGAGAAAGAUGUAUCAAUACCAUCUUCUGUAAGUUUUGUUUAUAUGUUAUAAUCUAUUUGGAGAUGUUUCAUAUCACAUCCGUUUUGGUGAUCAUGGUUGUUCUAAUAGACCCCUAAGUAGGGAAACCCAUGGAGUGACAUGAAGGUCAUUUAGGGUAUGGAGCCGCUCUAGAAGAAAAUUUAGCGUAAAAUGGCAACUUAAUUCAGCUCAGAGCUAUGCAACAAUCAGGAUGGCUAGCUAUGGUUGAGGCUUACUCUGCGUCAAGCUCCACAUGAAGAAUUUAACAUAGAUAGAAUACCUACUGUGGUCCCAUGAACAGGCCUGUGAGAUAAACUAUACGAAACCAUUUUACAGGUAAGAAAAUAGAAACAAUAAAUAAGAAAACUGGCUAAGAUCAUUUAGCUACUAGAUGGUAAAAUUAAGAUUAGAACCUAGAGCUUGGGGUUUUAAGCUUUACUGUAGAAUAAAAUGAAAUGAAAAUUAAAACAUAAUGCAAAACUAUGUAGAGACCAAAAUGUCUACAUGGAAGCAAACUUUGAGUUUUAUAUAUGUGCCUUAUAUAAAUUCUGGUGGUUUUAAUGGAUUCCACUGUUCACAAAAUUGGCUUGUUACAGUGAUAUAUAAACGGGAAACUUUCUAGUUAUAGAAAUGUGUAAAUUGGAGUUCCCGUCGUGGCUCAGUGGCUAACGAAUCGACUAGGAACCAUGAGGUUGCGAGUUCGAUCCCUGGCCUUGCUCAGUGGGUUGGGGAUCUGGCGUUGCCAUGAGCUGUGGUGUAAGUUGCAGACGUGGCUCUGAUCCUGUGUUGCUGUGGCUCUGGCAAAGCCCGGCAGCUACAGCUCUGAUUAGACCCCUAGCCUGGGAACCUCCAUAUGCCG